rnacentral:lncRNA from 10 species
CCACCUGUUCCAAGUUUCCACCGUCUCGCCUCAGGGAAAUUCUGGGGGGACCAAAAGGAGAGGGUCACCCCACACCUCCAACUCCUGCAAAUGAGCCCAUCCAGAAAGCUGUCUCUGGAGCACAUGCCUGUUUCCAUCUUCUCUUGCACAGUUUCAGGCCAUGUUUAAGGAUGGGAGAAGAUUGCCUGGCCUCCAGCCUGGAUGCCAGCCAGAACAGUGGUUCCCUGCUUUGGUGCCAGAAUCACAAGUGAUGUUCUAAGGAGAACUAUGAAUGCUUUACCAGUUGUGAGUUCCUCAAAUACACCCUGUUGGUGAAGCAGGGGGACUGUCCAGCUCCUGAGAAAGCCAGUGGAUUUGCGGCCGCCUGCGUUGAAAGCUGCGAAGUUGACAUUGAGAUGGUGUCUUGCUGUGUCUCUCAGGCUAGAGUGCAGUGUGCAGUGGCACAGCCUCAGCCCACUGCAGCCUCCCCAUCCCAGGUUCCAGAGAUUCUCCUGCCUCAGCCUGCCAAGUAGCUGGGACUACAGGCAUGCCCCACCAUACCCGGGUGUCCCCCUGAAGCCCAGAGAAGGGUUACAAUUUACAGAAUUGCCGUCUGGACAGCUGGAGAUCCAACCAACAUGUGAGAAUAAAAGGUGACAUGUUCCCUGUGCUCUGUGAGUUCAACUGACUGACAUAAGACC